UUAAGCGACUAAGCGUACACGGUGGAUGCCCUGGCAGUCAGAGGCGAUGAAGGACGUGCUAAUCUGCGAAAAGCGUCGGUAAGGUGAUAUGAACCGUUAUAACCGGCGAUGUCCGAAUGGGGAAACCCAGUGCAAUUCGUUGCACUAUCGUUAACUGAAUACAUAGGUUAACGAGGCGAACCGGGGGAACUGAAACAUCUAAGUACCCCGAGGAAAAGAAAUCAACCGAGAUUCCCCCAGUAGCGGCGAGCGAACGGGGAGCAGCCCAGAGUCUGAAUCAGCUUGUGUGUUAGUGGAACGGUCUGGAAAGUCCGACGGUACAGGGUGAUAGUCCCGUACACCAAAAUGCACAGGUUGUGAACUCGAAGAGUAGGGCGGGACACGUGGUAUCCUGUCUGAAUAUGGGGGGACCAUCCUCCAAGGCUAAAUACUCCUGACUGACCGAUAGUGAACCAGUACCGUGAGGGAAAGGCGAAAAGAACCCCGGCGAGGGGAGUGAAAAAGAACCUGAAACCGUGUACGUACAAGCAGUGGGAGCACCUUCGGGUGUGACUGCGUACCUUUUGUAUAAUGGGUCAGCGACUUAUAUUCUGUAGCAAGGUUAACCGUAUAGGGGAGCCGCAGGGAAACCGAGUCUUAACUGGGCGUUAAGUUGCAGGGUAUAGACCCGAAACCCGGUGAUCUAGCCAUGGGCAGGUUGAAGGUUGGGUAACACUAACUGGAGGACCGAACCGACUAAUGUUGAAAAAUUAGCGGAUGACUUGUGGCUGGGGGUGAAAGGCCAAUCAAACCGGGAGAUAGCUGGUUCUCCCCGAAAGCUAUUUAGGUAGCGCCUCGUGAACUCAUCUUCGGGGGUAGAGCACUGUUUCGGCUAGGGGGUCAUCCCGACUUACCAACCCGAUGCAAACUACGAAUACCGAAGAAUGUUAUCACGGGAGACACACGGCGGGUGCUAACGUCCGUCGUGAAGAGGGAAACAACCCAGACCGCCAGCUAAGGUCCCAAAGUCAUGGUUAAGUGGGAAACGAUGUGGGAAGGCACAGACAGCCAGGAUGUUGGCUUAGAAGCAGCCAUCAUUUAAAGAAAGCGUAAUAGCUCACUGGUCGAGUCGGCCUGCGCGGAAGAUGUAACGGGGCUAAACCAUGCACCGAAGCUGCGGCAGCGACACUAUGUGUUGUUGGGUAGGGGAGCGUUCUGUAAGCCUGCGAAGGUGACCUGUGAGGGUUGCUGGAGGUAUCAGAAGUGCGAAUGCUGACAUAAGUAACGAUAAAGCGGGUGAAAAGCCCGCUCGCCGGAAGACCAAGGGUUCCUGUCCAACGUUAAUCGGGGCAGGGUGAGUCGACCCCUAAGGCGAGGCCGAAAGGCGUAGUCGAUGGGAAACAGGUUAAUAUUCCUGUACUUGGUGUUACUGCGAAGGGGGGACGGAGAAGGCUAUGUUAGCCGGGCGACGGUUGUCCCGGUUUAAGCAUGUAGGCUGGUUGUCCAGGCAAAUCCGGAUAAUCAAGGCUGAGGUGUGAUGACGAGGCACUACGGUGCUGAAGUAACAAAUGCCCUGCUUCCAGGAAAAGCCUCUAAGCAUCAGGUAACAUCAAAUCGUACCCCAAACCGACACAGGUGGUCAGGUAGAGAAUACCAAGGCGCUUGAGAGAACUCGGGUGAAGGAACUAGGCAAAAUGGUGCCGUAACUUCGGGAGAAGGCACGCUGGUGUGUAGGUGAAGUCCCUGCGGAUGGAGCUGAGACCAGUCGAAGAUACCAGCUGGCUGCAACUGUUUAUUAAAAACACAGCACUGUGCAAACACGAAAGUGGACGUAUACGGUGUGACGCCUGCCCGGUGCCGGAAGGUUAAUUGAUGGGGUUAUCCGUAAGGAGAAGCUCUUGAUCGAAGCCCCGGUAAACGGCGGCCGUAACUAUAACGGUCCUAAGGUAGCGAAAUUCCUUGUCGGGUAAGUUCCGACCUGCACGAAUGGCGUAAUGAUGGCCAGGCUGUCUCCACCCGAGACUCAGUGAAAUUGAACUCGCUGUGAAGAUGCAGUGUACCCGCGGCAAGACGGAAAGACCCGUGAACCUUUACUAUAGCUUGACACUGAACAUUGAGCCUUGAUGUGUAGGAUAGGUGGGAGGCUUUGAAGCGUGGACGCCAGUCUGCGUGGAGCCAACCUUGAAAUACCACCCUUUAAUGUUUGAUGUUCUAACGUUGGCCCCUGACCGGGGUUGCGGACAGUGUCUGGUGGGUAGUUUGACUGGGGCGGUCUCCUCCCAAAGCGUAACGGAGGAGCACGAAGGUUAGCUAAUCCUGGUCGGACAUCAGGAGGUUAGUGCAAUGGCAUAAGCUAGCUUGACUGCGAGCGUGACGGCGCGAGCAGGUGCGAAAGCAGGUCAUAGUGAUCCGGUGGUUCUGAAUGGAAGGGCCAUCGCUCAACGGAUAAAAGGUACUCCGGGGAUAACAGGCUGAUACCGCCCAAGAGUUCAUAUCGACGGCGGUGUUUGGCACCUCGAUGUCGGCUCAUCACAUCCUGGGGCUGAAGUAGGUCCCAAGGGUAUGGCUGUUCGCCAUUUAAAGUGGUACGCGAGCUGGGUUUAGAACGUCGUGAGACAGUUCGGUCCCUAUCUGCCGUGGGCGCUGGAGAAUUGAGGGGGGCUGCUCCUAGUACGAGAGGACCGGAGUGGACGCAUCACUGGUGUUCGGGUUGUCAUGCCAAUGGCACUGCCCGGUAGCUAAAUGCGGAAGAGAUAAGUGCUGAAAGCAUCUAAGCACGAAACUUGCCCCGAGAUGAGUUCUCCCUGAGACUUUAAGUCUCCUGAAGGAACGUUGAAGACGACGACGUUGAUAGGCCGGGUGUGUAAGCGCAGCGAUGCGUUGAGCUAACCGGUACUAAUGAACCGUGAGGCUUAACCUU
rnacentral:rRNA from 1 species